CACAUGUGUACUAAAUUGGCUACUAUGAUCUUGGGGGCAGAUCCUUUCUCUUCCUUCUUUCUUCCAUAUUGACAAAAUGACACCAUGGGGUGUCUCUUGCUUUACCCCCUCACUCAUUCCUUUGGUAGGUUAUUUGUUCAGAUCAGACUUGGAUGUGUGAAAUUUUAGUCUGUAGAAUAUAAAUAGAUGUGAUUUGUUCAGUCUCCCAAUGGAAGAGCCAUAAUACAGUUGGAAUUUAUUUGCCUUCUGAGUCCUAAGAGUAGCAUGUCCUAAAGGACGACCUCUCCUUCAGCCACUAAUGAAGUCCACGUUUAGUCCACAACAGAACAAGAGUGGGUUUUAUAUGAUCAAGAAAUAAGGCUUUCCUCUUAUAGUCCAAGAAAAUUUCUGCAUUAUUUUUUACAGCCACAUGAUUUAUAUUAACCUGACUGAUAUACCUUCCAAGAAGAGAAGUGGUAAGUAAUCUUAUUAGUGAAUUUGGGAGGAGUUGAAUAUGGUCUGAUAAACUCCUUGUUCUUUGGUAUUAGACUUCUCACAGAGUGUACACAUGCUCUUGGCCAAUUGUAAAUCUCACAGUGUCUGCCAUUUUGAGGAGUGAGUUUAUUUCAGAAUAGAUUUUCAAACUAGUCUAGUUCUACACCUAAGCCAUGUAUUCCAAUAUACAGAUAUAUUGGUUAAUGAAAACUGAGGUUUCAUCUCCGUCUACAUAGAUCUUAUGAAUAUUUCUCAUAUUUCAAUUCAGGUGGAGAAGAGGGAUAUGCUAUACUGACUCCUUCUCCAACAAGUACUGUGAUUCUGCACAGGAGCAUAAUAUCCAAUGGUCUAUUUGGACAGUAACUUAAUAAGACUGAGAGAAUUGAAGUACGCAUAUAUACCUAAGGAUCCUCAACUAGAAGUCAGAAGACACAGGACAUUAUUGCUAUAAUUCACACAGCUCAUCUUCCCGG